CCCUUAGAUGUCCGGGGCUGCACGCGCGCUACAAUGGUCGGAGCAGAAUGAAAAGAGACGGCUCCGCGAGGCGGGAGCGUCCUUCGGGGCCUCCCGUUCUUAAUGGUUGACCGUUCCCCGGGUCGACGGGCCCGGGAGAUCGGCUGGAAUCUCGAUCGUGAUCGGGACAGAGUCUUGUAAUUGUUACUCUCAAACGAGGAAUUCCUAGUAGGCGCGAGUCAUGACCUCGCGUCGACUGCGUCCCUGCCCUUUGUACACACCGCCCGUCGCUACUACCGAUUGAAUGGUUCGGUGAAGAUCUCGGACUUCGAUAUUUAUUCUUUAUUGAGUUUAUAUUGUGGGAAGUUAUCUAAACCUCAUCAUUUAGAGGAAGGUGAAGUCGUAACA
rnacentral:rRNA from 1 species